rnacentral:tRNA from 1 species
AGAAACUUAGGUUAACCAAACCAGGGGCCUUCAAAGCCCCAAACAAGAGCUAGACCCUCUUAGUUUCUG